GUUCUGAGGACACACAUGAGGACAUGGGCUGGUGUCUCUCUGCAAGGAGUGCCAGGGAGGGGGCAGGGAGGUGGGGCCCCCGGACAGGGACUCACUGUCAAGAUCAGGUUUGGAUCGGCGCAGGAAGGGGGCUCCCAGCUGGUGCUGCUGCAUCUUCCACCAGAUGAUCCAACUGAGGAAUGAAGAACAGUGUUCGAAUUAAACCUAAUGACAGAUUCCUUGGGCUGCCUCCGAACGCAUGGACCCCUUGCAUUUGUUAGGUCUCCCCUGGAGGGAAUUCCACAGCAAGUGCCACUCUCCCUUGGGGAUCUCAGAAUCUGCUCUGGAAUUAGACUUCAUCGAGGCUGACCCAGAGGGGACCAGAGGGGACAGAGAAGCCACCAUCCCUUGGCCUGGCCAAGACUUCCCAGAGGAAGGUGGGACAUCUCUACUGCUCUGUCAUUUGGACCAGAAGUAAGUCGUGUUUCUACCGCUUACAUUCUCAUGUGGACAUUAUUCAGC
rnacentral:lncRNA from 1 species